UCGGAUUUAAGGCUCUUGUUAAAAUGAGUAUAUAAGUCAGAUAUGGGUUGAUGGUAGUGCAUACAAUGAGGUAAUUUAAAUUACCUCUUUACCAGUCCCGUGGUGUUGCCUAUUCAAAUGCCUCGGCUCGGUUUUAGACUCUUCUUUAUUGAUGAGUCCACAAACCAGAAAAUGGAUUGAUGAUGAAGCGUGAUUGAGAAACUGUCCCUUGUUGCCUAUUCAAAUGUCUCAGCUCGGGUUAAGACUUGUUGAGAUGGGCUAAAAAUCAGAAAUGGGUUGAUGGUAGUGCAUGCAAUGAGGUAAUUUAAAUUACCUCUUUACAAGUCCCUUGGUGUUGCCUAUUCAAAUGCCUCGGCUCGGUUUUAGACUCGUCUUUAAUGAUGAGUCUACAAACCAGAAAAUGGAUUGAUGAUGGUGCGUUAGUGAGAAACUGUCCCUUGUUGCCUAUUCAAAUGCCUCAGCUCGGGUUAUGACCCUUGUUGUGAUGAGCUAUAAAUCAGAAAUGGGUUGAUGGUAGUGCAUGCAAUGAGGUAAUUUAAAUUACUUCUUUUCCAGUCCUGUGGUGUUGACAAAUGCCUCGGCUCGGUUUUAGACUCGUCUUUAAUGAGGAGUCAACAAACCAGAAAAUGGAUUGAUGAUGUAGCGUGAGUGAGAAACUGUCCCUUGUUGCCUAUUCAAAUGCCUCGGCUCGGGUUAUGACCCUUGUUAUGAUGAGCUAUAAAUCAGAAAUGGGAUGAUGGUAGUGCAUGCAAUGAGGUAAUUGAAAUUGCCUCUUUACUAGCCCCGUGUUGUCUAUUCAAAUGCCUCG
rnacentral:lncRNA from 1 species